AGAUUGAAUGCUGACGGCGUGGAUGAGGCAUGCAAGUCGAACGAAGUUAGGGGGCAACUCUUAGCUUAGUGGCGGAAGGGUUAGUAAUACAUGGAUAAUCUGCCUUUUACCUGGGGAUAACGGCUGGAAACGGCCGCUAAUACCGAAUGAGACCUAGCAAGGCAUCUUGCGAAGAUCAAAGUUGGGGAUUCUGUAAAGAACCUAGCGGUAAAAGAGGAGUCCAUGGGAUAUCAGCUAGUUGGUGUGGUAAUGGCGCACCAAGGCUAAGACGUCUAGGCGGAUUGAGAGAUUGACCGCCAACAUUGGGACUGAGAUACUGCCCAGACUCCUACGGGAGGCUGCAGUCGAGGAUCAUUCGCAAUGGGCGAAAGCCUGACGGUGCGACGCCGUGUGAACGAAGAAGGCCUUCGGGUUGUAAAGUUCUUUCGCUCGGGAACAAGGGGAAUAUAUGAAUAAUAUAUUUUCUUGAUGGUACUGGGUAAAGAAGCACUGGCUAACUCCGUGCCAGCAGCUGCGGUAAUACGGAGGGUGCAAGCAUUAAUCGGAUUUAUUGGGCGUAAAGGGCGCGUAGGCUUCUCUGCAAGUCAGAUGUGAAAUUCCGGGACUUAAUCUCGGAGCGGCAUUUGAGACUACAGGGAUGGAGGGUAAGCGGAGAAAGUGGAAUUCCACGUGUAGCGGUGAAAUGCGUAGAUAUGUGGAGGAACACCGGUGGCGAAGGCGACUUUCUAGUUUAUACCUGACGCUGAGGCGCGAAAGCAAGGGGAGCAAACAGGAUUAGAUACCCUGGUAGUCCUUGCUGUAAACGAUGCAUACUUGAUGGAGCUAGGCUCAACCCUAGCUGUGUCGUAGCGAACGCGGUAAGUAUGCCGCCUGGGGAGUACACUCGCAAGGGUGAAACUCAAAAGAAUUGACGGGGACCCGCACAAGCAGUGGAGCAUGUGGUUUAAUUCGAUCCACGCGAAGAACCUUACCUGGAUUUGACAUGCAGAGGACGUGAUCUGAAAGGAUCAUUCCCGCGAGGGUCUCUGCACAGGUGCUGCAUGGCUGUCGUCAGCUCGUGCCGUGAGGUGUUGGGUUAAGUCCCGCAACGAGCGCAACCCUUAUCGUUAGUUGCCAACAUUUCGGAUGGGUACUCUAACGAGACUGCCUGGGUGAACCAGGAGGAAGGUGAGGAUGACGUCAAGUCCGCAUGGCCUUUAUAUCCAGGGCUACACACGUGCUACAAUGGUCGGUACAGAAGGCGGCGAAACUGUGAAGUGGAGCAAAUCCUAGAAAGCCGAUCUCAGUUCGGAUUGUAGUCUGCAACUUGGCUACAUGAAGCUGGAAUUGCUAGUAAUGGCGUGUCAGCAACAACGCCGUGAAUACGUUCCCGGGUCUUGUACACACCGCCCGUCAAAUCAUGGGAGUUGGUUUUACUCGAAGUCGCUGGCUCAACCGCAAGGGGAGAAGCGCCAAAGGUGAGGCCGAUGACUGGGAUUACGUCGGAACAAGGUA
rnacentral:rRNA from 1 species